rnacentral:misc_RNA from 1 species
GUGUUAAAACUCAAUAAAGAAAACCAGAGGAGGUAGCUCGAGCCUUGGAAAGUCUCUCUUAGGAAGGUAGUUGGUUGACUAUUCUGGGUAGUCGCCUGGCUACCCUUGGUAGAAUUGACCUUUGUCCUUGAUAUGGCCAUAUUUAGAGUUACAGGUUGAAUUUUGAGGUGAAUUUAGUUGCACUAGAAACUAUAUAUCCAUAGAUUUUUAUCAAUAGAU